AGUGAACGCUGGCGGUAGGCCUAACACAUGCAAGUCGAACGGCAGCACAGUAAGAGCUUGCUCUUACGGGUGGCGAGUGGCGGACGGGUGAGGAAUACAUCGGAAUCUACUUUUUCGUGGGGGAUAACGUAGGGAAACUUACGCUAAUACCGCAUACGACCUACGGGUGAAAGCAGGGGAUCUUCGGACCUUGCGCGAUUGAAUGAGCCGAUGUCGGAUUAGCUAGUUGGCGGGGUAAAGGCCCACCAAGGCGACGAUCCGUAGCUGGUCUGAGAGGAUGAUCAGCCACACUGGAACUGAGACACGGUCCAGACUCCUAAGGGAGGCAGCAGUGGGGAAUAUUAGACAAUGGGCGCAAGCCUGAUCCAGCCAUACCGCGUGGGUGAAGAAGGCCUUCCGGUUGUAAAGCCCUUUUGUUGGGAAAGAAAAGCAGCAGGUUAAUACCCCGCUGUUCUGACGGUACCCAAAGAAUAAGCACCGGCUAACUUCGUG
rnacentral:rRNA from 1 species